ACUCCUACGGGUGGCUGCAGUGGGGAAUAUUGGACAAUGGGCGAAAGCCUGAUCCAGCCAUGCCGCGUGUGUGAAGAAGGCCUUUUGGUUGUAAAGCACUUUAAGUGGGGAGGAAAAGCUUAUGGUUAAUACCCAUAAGCCCUGACGUUACCCACAGAAUAAGCACCGGCUAACUCUGUGCCAGCAGCCGCGGUAAUACAGAGGGUGCAAGCGUUAAUCGGAAUUACUGGGCGUAAAGCGCGCGUAGGUGGUUAUUUAAGUCAGAUGUGAAAGCCCCGGGCUUAACCUGGGAACUGCAUCUGAUACUGGAUAACUAGAGUAGGUGAGAGGGGAGUAGAAUUCCAGGUGUAGCGGUGAAAUGCGUAGAGAUCUGGAGGAAUACCGAUGGCGAAGGCAGCUCCCUGGCAUCAUACUGACACUGAGGUGCGAAAGCGUGGGUAGCAAACAGGAUUAGAUACCCUGGUAGUCCACGCCGUAAACGAUGUCUACCAGUCGUUGGUCUUUUAAAGACUUAGUGACGCAGUUAACGCAAUAAGUAGACCGCCUGGGGAGUACGGCCGCAAGGUUAAAACUCAAAUGAAUUGACGGGGGCCCGCACAAGCGGUGGAGCAUGUGGUUUAAUUCGAUGCAACGCGAAGAACCUUACCUGGUCUUGACAUAGUGAGAAUCUUGCAGAGAUGCGAGAGUGCCUUCGGGAAUUCACAUACAGGUGAUGCAUGGGUGUCGUCAGCUCGU
rnacentral:rRNA from 1 species